ensembl:lncRNA
UUAUUCUGGACUGCUGUAUUUUUUACAGUAUGUUUGUACUAGCAAGUGUAUGGGAAUUGUUAGGUCAUAGCCUGAACCAGUGCUUGAGCAUCUGGUGAAAGGGUGUGGCCAGCCCUGGGAGCACAGGUGCAAACAAUUCACCUGUGUGCCAGAAUCUCAUUUAACGGCUGGCAGCUAGAAGGGGAACGUUUCUACUUAGAGGUCAUUUCCUUUGGGAGUUUUCUGGCAAGUCUUGAUCCACAGAAAGGGGUAGAAGACUCUACACUUGCUCUUGUUAAACCUUGUCAGAUUCCUUCCUGCUCAACUCUCCAGUUUGUCCAGAUCUUGUUGAGUGGCAGCAGAGCCUUUAGGAGAAAGACAGAUGUGCUCCUCUCUCUGAUUCAGAUUGAGGUCUUUGAAGAAAACUGCAUCAACUCAUCUGACCAGAAGAUGAUGGUGAAACUGAGGAGAGACUUACUUAUGUCUUUCCUGAGACCAGGCUGUUGAGUGACUGGAAAUGUUCCUGAAGAGUGUAUGCUAUGGCAGGAGGCACCUGACUUAAAAGCACAUACAGACUAAUGACUUCAGUCUUGAAGAUUUUUAUUUGCCCUCAUACUGUAAGGAAUUUAGGCACAAUCCAAUUUAUGCAUGAUCUGCUGAAGGAUCAAGCUCACUGGAAACACUGCACAAAAGGCAUUUACAGAGGGAACUUCUGAGCACAGAAGAUUUUGAUUAAAAGGUGGAGAGAGAAGAGAAAUUUUCAUAUAUACUUCUUUGAGAGGAAAACAAAGCAAGAAUUGCCAAGUCCAAAGAGAGAAGAAUCCCUCUGGCAGCCCUGGAUGAGAGGAAUGUUCUUUAAUUAGCACAGAAGAUGAUUGUCUGCUUAAGUGGUGGGCAAUUCUACAUCAUUCAGAUAAGGUUUGAUUCCUCUCCCUGAAGGAUUGUCAGGGAAAGGAAAAGAAGAGUAAAGGGAUCCACCAACAGAUGGAUGCAGAGUAUUGGUCUUAAAGACAGCCUGUUCUGCUGGAAGGAUAUAGUAUGUCCUCAAAGGUGGAUCUCAAUAAGGAUUUAUCAGUGAAUUGUGAGAGAACGUUUAGUUUUAGAAGAGUUAAUUUGAAGGACACUGAAGAAACAAAUUAUCCCCAAAUCAAUGGUAAAGUUAUUAAGCAUGAAGAAAUCCUACGUGAUAUACCCAAAUCCAUCCAGUGAAACAAGGAACACUCCACUUCACCCCAAAGAAAUAAGGCACCUUCCAGAAAAAGAAUUUGUUGUUUUGAUUAUUUAAAAAAGAUGGCAAAACUGAGGCAGAAGGAAGCAGAGGUGACAGUCCUGUGGAGAUGCGUGUAUAUUUUUGUAUAUUUUUGGGGUCCAGUGGGACUAUACCCCUUAAUUUCUUCAGAGUUUCCCAAUGAACAAGGAAAAGAAAAUUAUGAGUUCAAAGUUGUGAACUGUGGUAAGAAACAAAGACAGUAAAAGAGAUAAGCUCUCCUUAGUCUUGCUGCUUUUAAAUGCUAGAUUAAACUGGCCAAUAAACUUCCUUAUUUCAAACUGUGUUGCAGUGAAGAGCUUGAUGUUACG